AACGAACGCUGGCGGCGUGCCUAACACAUGCAAGUCGAGCGAAGUGAGUACUACGGUACGAACUUAGCGGCGGACGGGUGAGUAACGCGUGGACAAUCUACCCUGUAGACUGGGAUAACACCUCGAAAGGGGUGCUAAUACCGGAUAAUGUCGAGAAGCGGCAUCGCUUUUCGAAGAAAGGAGAGAAUCCGCUAUAGGAGGAGUCCGCGUCCCAUUAGCUAGUUGGUGAGGGUAACGGGCCACCAAGGCGACGAUGGGUAGACGGCCUGGGAGGGUGAACGGCCACACUGGAACUGAGACACGGUCCAGACUCCUACGGGAGGCAGCAGUGGGGAAUAUUGUGCAAUGGGGGAAACCCUGACACAGCAACGCCGCGUGAGCGAAGAAGGCCUUCGGGUUGUAAAGCUCAAUAGUAUGGGAAGAUAAUGACGGUACCGUAAGAAUAAGCACCGGCUAACUACGUGCCAGCCGCCGCAGUAAAAC
rnacentral:rRNA from 1 species